AACCAACCGUAUAUAUAACUCCCGGAAACAGCAGUAUGUAUGUUCAUAGACACGAUAAUAUGACAUUAGAGUGUGCAUUUGUAUCGCUUGCUAACAUUACCAGUUUACAAUGGAUCAAGCAUGGAAAAAAUGGACAAACAGUUUUAAAUGAAACAACUCAUCCAGAUAAAUUUAGUGUUAGUUUUUCCGGAGCUUCUCGCAACUUAUGGCUUUUUAAAUCUGAUUUUAUACUUGAGGACACAGCUACGUAUCAGUGCAUUGUUUCUAAUCAGAAUGGCGAAAAUGAUGACAAUGUAACCGUAUUCAUAUUUGAAGAAACCCCUAAUCCUCAAAUAACAUUUGAAAUAUACCCGCUGAAUCUUGGUGGAGACGUACAUUUGGAGUGCAUGAUUGACGCGUAUCCAGAAAUAACGGAUGUUUGGUGGAAGAAAGACGACGAAAUAAUAGAUAAAACAGAUAUUCGGUACAACGGAUCUACUCCACAAGAACCAUCGCUCAACAUAUCAAUGACUACUACAGACGAUAUUGGAUAUUAUAGAUGCUGUGCAAACAAUUCCAUAGGUUUCAACUGCAGUAACGAUUUUAUACUUGGAUAUUCGCCUAUCAUAAUUAAUUCUACACAUUAUGCAGAAGGAUUCAUCGGAAAGUCAUUGAAUAUCAAUUGUGAAGUGAAAUCAGCCCCUAAAAUCCUCGAUGUUACGCUUCAAUUUAAAGAAACGAUUGUAACAGCAAAUGUCUACAACGUAUCCACUGAAAAACGUCACCAAGAAAAGUUUACAUUUACAAUUACCGACCCAACAAUGCAGGACAGUGGAAAUUAUACAUGCAACGCAACUAAUGUGCACACAUCCAGCAUUAGUGAUGUAAUUACACUGGAAAUAUAUGGAGGCAAGUUCUAAUUCAAACUUUACUUUCGCUAUUGCUUCCCACAU